UAAAAGAAACAAAAUCUCCUUUAGCUGCCUUUGACUCCUCCUUACCCCGCUGUUAGAGACCCCAGAGAAUUCAACUUCCCAAGACCAGCCACUAAGUACAUAUGGAAGCUGUGUUCGUCCAAUCAAGUAGAGUUAAAAGUCUCCCAAAGUUCAAGAGGAGCAAAGAGCAGGUUGUUGUCUCGGAUAUGGCUUUACGACACUUCCCAGAUGAGUUCAGUCCAAAAAAAUGUGUGUGAGAGAGAGAGUGACUGAUAAAUGCAGGGGUUUCUAUAACACAGAUAAAGGUGACAUGUUUACAAAAA